UACGGAGGGAGCUAGCGUUGUUCGGAAUUACUGGGCGUAAAGCGCACGUAGGCGGAUCUUUAAGUCAGGGGUGAAAUCCUGGAGCUCAACUCCAGAACUGCCUUUGAUACUGAGGACCUUGAGUUCGGGAGAGGUGAGUGGAACUGCGAGUGUAGAGGUGAAAUUCGUAGAUAUUCGCAAGAACACCAGUGGCGAAGGCGGCUCACUGGCCCAUUACUGACGCUGAGGCACGAAAGCGUGGGGAGCAAACAGG
rnacentral:rRNA from 1 species